GUUGAUUCGAGGCUUUUGUAGCCGCCCCUACCUAAACUUGUUUUUCAUUCUCUUCUUCUUCAAUAAACAUAUAUUGAAUUCUUCUUUUAACAAAACUAAUCAAAUGCAAUGAAGAGAAACGAUAAUCGAUUGCAGAUAACUCUGCAACAAGAUCUUUUCCAUUCUUAUGGUUCGUAUUCACUGAGCAUCAUAACCCUUAUUCACUUUUCUUUUUAUUUAUUUAUUUUAUUUUUUUAAUCGAUGGUUCCUAUGGAGGAAGCGCAAUAAAUCAGUGCGUAUUUCUUCAAGUUUGCCUUCGUAUAUUCAUUCGAGAUCUUAGAACAAACCAAGUGUUUCCAAUUAAUAUUCAUAUGGUUUUGUUCUACUUUUUAUUUUUGAUUUUCGUACAUUUUAUUUAUUAUUGUUUUUUUAUGAAUGCGAAGUUCCCAGCAGAGAGGUGAAUUAAUCUUUAAUAUUGAGGCCUCCCUAACCAUUUAUUUCAAUAUUCUUCGUAAAUUUAUUUUGCCGAAUCGUAGGAUGCCCAAAUAUAUUUGACUUUUGGUUCAUCUGUAAAAUCGGCUAUAUCUUU